rnacentral:piRNA from 1 species
ACACUGCAAUGAGCCAGUCAAAUGGGAGUUC